rnacentral:rRNA from 1 species
CCUACGGGAGGCAGCAGUGGGGAAUAUUGGGCAAUGGGCGCAAGCCUGACCCAGCAACGCCGCGUGAAGGAAGAAGGCUUUCGGGUUGUAAACUUCUUUUGUCAGGGACGAAAAAAAUGACGGUACCUGACGAAUAAGCCACGGCUAACUACGUGCCAGCAGCCGCGGUAAUACGUAGGUGGCAAGCGUUAUCCGGAUUUACUGGGUGUAAAGGGCGUGUAGGCGGGAAAGCAAGUCAGAUGUGAAAACUAUGGGCUCAACCCAUAGCCUGCAUUUGAAACUGUUUUUCUUGAGUGUCGGAGAGGUAAUCGGAAUUCCGUGUGUAGCGGUGAAAUGCGUAGAUAUACGGAGGAACACCAGUGGCGAAGGCGGAUUACUGGACGAUAACUGACGCUGAGGCGCGAAAGCGUGGGGAGCAAACAGGAUUAGAUACCCCAGU